GUGAGGAAUUUUCCGCAAUGGGCGAAAGCCUGACGGAGCAAUGCCGCGUGAAGGAUGAAGGCCUAUGGGUUGUAAACUUCUUUUCUCAGAAAAGAAUUAUGACGGUAUCUGAGGAAUAAGCAUCGGCUAACUCUGUGCCAGCAGCCGCGGUAAGACAGAGGUUGCAAGCGUUAUCCGGAAUGAUUGGGCGUAAAGCGUCUGUAGGUUGUUUAAAAAGUAUUCUGUCAAAGAUUAGGGCUUAACCCUAGAUAGGCAGAAUAAACUUUUAAGCUAGAGUGUGGUAGAGGCAGAGGGAAUUCCCGGUGGAGCGGUGAAAUGCGUAGAUAUCGGGAGGAACACCAAAGGCGAAGGCACUCUGCUGGGCCAAUACUAACACUGAGAGACGAAAGCGAGGGGAGCAAAUGGGAUUAGAAACCCUGGUAGUCC
rnacentral:rRNA from 1 species